UAUACAAGCUUCUCAAACCCCCAUUUCCUACAUUAAAUCAUAUGUUGACAAAAGAGAACAAGAUUCAUUCCAAUCACAAGUGCAACAUUCAUUACAAUACUUCAUUUAUUAAAAAAUACUACAUUAUUUGCUUUCUUUUGUUAUGUCAUUUGCUUAGCAUCCAUCGAGCACUUGUCAAAAGGGGACGAAGCAUCUUAAGCAUGAAAGUAAUUCUC
rnacentral:misc_RNA from 1 species